rnacentral:rRNA from 1 species
UGGGGAAUUUUGGACAAUGGGCGAAAGCCUGAUCCAGCAAUGCCGCGUGUGUGAAGAAGGCCUUCGGGUUGUAAAGCACUUUUGUCCGGAAAGAAAUCCUUGGCUCUAAUACAGUCGGGGGAUGACGGUACCGGAAGAAUAAGCACCGGCUAACUACGUGCCAGCAGCCGCGGUAAUACGGUAAGGGCUGCAAUGACGUUGAAAUUCGGAAUUACUGGGGCGUAAAAGCGUGCGCAGGGCGGUUUGCUAAGACCGAUGUGAAAUCCCCGGGCUCAACCUGGGAACUGCAUUGGUGACUGGCAGGCUAGAGUAUGGCAGAGGGGGGUAGAAUUCCACGUGUAGCAGUGAAAUGCGUAGAGAUGUGGAGGAAUACCGAUGGCGAAGGCAGCCCCCUGGGCCAAUACUGACGCUCAUGCACGAAAGCGUGGGGAGCAAAACAGGAUUAGAUACCCUGGUAGUCCACGCCCUAAACGAUGUCAACUAGUUGUUGGGGAUUCAUUUCCUUAGUAACGUAGCUAACGCGUGAAGUUGACCGCCUGGGGAGUACGGUCGCAAGAUUAAAACUCAAAUGAAUUGACGGGGU